AGAGUUCGAUUCUGGCUCAGGACGAACGCUGGCGGCGUGCCUAACACAUGCAAGUCGAGCGGAGACAGUGAGUAGCUUGCUACGAACUGUUUUAGCGGCGGACGGGUGAGUAACGCGUGAGCAACCUUUCCCAGACAGGGGAAUAACACACCGAAAGGUGUACUAAUACCGCAUAAGACCACGGGAUCACAUGGUUCUGAGGUAAAAGAUUUAUCGGUUUGGGGUGGGCUCGCGUCCGAUUAGGUAGUUGGUGAGGUAACGGCCCACCAAGCCGACGAUCGGUAGCCGACCUGAGAGGGUGAUCGGCCACAUUGGGACUGAGACACGGCCCAA
rnacentral:rRNA from 1 species